rnacentral:rRNA from 1 species
CCCGUAAGACCCCGGAAGGGCGCGGGCCUUAGUGGCGGACGGGUGAGUAACGCGUGGGGAACCUGCCCCGUACCGGGGGAUGACACCUGGAAACAGGUGCUAAUACCGCAUAACAGAAGGGGACGCAUGUUUCUUUCUUGAAAACUCCGGUGGUACGGGAUGGACCCGCGUCUGAUUAGCUGGUUGGCGGGGUAACGGCCCACCAAGGCGACGAUCAGUAGCCGGCCUGAGAGGGCGGACGGCCACAUUGGGACUGAGACACGGCCCAAACUCCUACGGGAGGCAGCAG